GAAUGAAAUCAGAAAUAAAAGUAAAAACAAGUUCCUUUCUUGAAAACGAGUUUCAUACUGACCUCCGUAUUCAGUUAAUUCAGACCUGAACUAAUUCAUCAUAUUGACUAAAUGUGAUGGGGGCCUUACUAUUAUAAUCAACUUCUGGCAGCACAUACAAAAUAAAAUGGCGCCAAAAUGAAGCCAUAUUUUAUUUAAUUUUUCUACUUGCUUCGAACUUGGACAUUCGAUCUGCCACUUCAAUUUUAAACUCCGAAAGAAAAGGUUCUUCAUUUAAAUAUCGUGCAUAUUCAUUGCGAAAGCCCUCGUGGUCUACUAAAUAAUAAAACUAUAAUAAAGCGUUGCUAAAUCAACACAAUACACAAAGGUAAUUAAAUUAAAGUAAAUGCAAUUAAUGCAAAACAAUUCAUUACAAUGAUGAUUAGUUACCGCCCCAGUCUGAACGUUUAUGUCGAUUGGUUUUUUAAGAUCUGAAGAUUCUUUCUUUUUAUCUUGCUUAGGUAAUAAAUUAAAGACAACUAAUAAACUUGUAUAUUUUAUAAUUUCUUUUCUAGAUGGAACAUUUCAUGUUUCGAUGCCAAUUGGUGUUGCUGGAAAGCUAUGUUGUAAAAUCUGGUGAAUGACUCCUCUGCAAGUCAAACCACGUGUUCAAAUGGAAUUUUAAAUAAAAGGAAAAGAAUCUUAAAAAUGAUUGUUUCAUAGUCGGGAGCAUUUUUCAAAAACCACGCUGCUGGUUAGUGUUUGGCGCCGGGAAACCCAGUAUCCGGUAGAAAUAAUGCCAAAGGUAAUAAAAUUUAAUAAUUUUUAAUAUCAAAAUAUUUAUUUAAGCGAAUGAUGAAUGUUUUUGUAACAGUUAUCCCUGUCAUACACAAAGUUGAUGAGAAUGUUUACUCUGAAAAUUCAUUCAAUCUUUUCUAAAUUGACAUUAUUCAAUGGACAUAUUACUUAUAAGUUUUUAUUUAAUUU